GGAUGAACGCUAGCGGCAGGCCUAAUACAUGCAAGUCGAACGAUAUCANNNNGCUUGCUCNNUGRRAAAGUGGCGCACGGGUGCGUAACGCGUAUGCAACCUACCUUAAUCNGGGGGAUAGCCCGGAGAAAUCCGGAUUAAUACCGCAUAAAAUCACAGCANUGCAUARUGYAAUGAUCAAACAUUUAUGGGAUUGAGAUGGGCAUGCGUGUCAUUAGCUAGUUGGCGGGGUAACGGCCCACCAAGGCGACGAUGACUAGGGGAUCUGAGAGGAUGGCCCCCCACACUGGUACUGAGACACGGACCAGACUCCUACGGGAGGCAGCAGUAAGGAAUAUUGGUCAAUGGAGGCAACUCUGAACCAGCCAUGCCGCGUGCAGGAAGACUGCCCUAUGGGUUGUAAACUGCUUUUAUCCGGGAAUAAACCU
rnacentral:rRNA from 1 species